rnacentral:rRNA from 1 species
UACAGAGGUCCCAAGCGUUGUUCGGAAUCAUUGGGCGUAAAGCGCGUGUAGGCGGUUUGUUAAGUCGAGUGUGAAAUCCCUGGGCUCAACCGAGGAAGUGCAUUCGAAACUAACUGGCUAGAAGACGGUAGAGGAAGGUGGAAUUCCAAGUGUAGAGGUGAAAUGCGUAGAUAUCGGGAGGAACACCUGUGGCGAAAGCGGCUCACUGGACCAUAACUGACGCUGAUGCACGAAAGCUGGGGGAGCAAACAGG